rnacentral:rRNA from 1 species
AAUUUUGGACAAUGGGGGCAACCCUGAUCCAGCCAUCCCUCGUGUGCGAUGAAGGCCUUCGGGUUNUAAAGCACUUUUGGCAGGGANGAAAAGGCUCUGGCUAAUACCUGGAGCUGCUGCCGGUCCCUGCAGACUCAGCACCUGCUCACUACGUUCCAACAGCCGCGGUAAUAAGUAGGGUGCAAGCGUUAAUCGGAAUUACUGGGCGUAAAGCGUGCGCAGGCGGUUCGGCAAGAAGGAUGUGAAAUCCCAGGGCUCAACCUUGGAACUGCAUUCUUAACUGCCGGGCUAGAGUAUGUCAGAGGGGGGUAGAAUUCCGCGUGUAGCAGUGAAAUGCGUAGAGAUGCGGAGGAAUACCGAUGGCGAAGGCAGCCCCCUGGGAUAAUACUGACGCUCAUGCACGAAAGCGUGGGGAGCAAACA